CCUGAGAGGGUGACCGGCCACACUGGGACUGAGACACGGCCCAGACUCCUACGGGAGGCAGCAGUGGGGAAUAUUGCACAAUGGGCGAAAGCCUGAUGCAGCAACGCCGCGUGGGGGAUGACGGCCUUCGGGUUGUAAACCUCUUUUAGUAGGGAAGAAGGGCUUCGGCUUGACGGUACCUGCAGAAAAAGCACCGGCUAACUACGUGCCAGCAGCCGCGGUAAUACGUAGGGUGCAAGCGUUGUCCGGAAUUAUUGGGCGUAAAGAGCUCGUAGGCGGUUUGUCGCGUCUGCUGUGAAAACCCGAGGCUCAACCUCGGGCCUGCAGUGGGUACGGGCAGACUAGAGUGCGGUAGGGGAGAAUGGAAUUCCUGGUGUAGCGGUGGAAUGCGCAGAUAUCAGGAGGAACACCGAUGGCGAAGGCAGUUCUCUGGGCCGUUACUGACGCUGAGGAGCGAAAGCGUGGGGAGCGAACAGGAUUAGAUACCCUGGUAGUCCACGCCGUAAACGUUGGGAACUAGAUGUGGGGACCUUUCCACGGUCUCCGUGUCGCAGCUAACGCAUUAAGUUCCCCGCCUGGGGAGUACGGCCGCAAGGCUAAAACUCAAAGGAAUUGACGGGGGCCCGCACAAGCGGCGGAGCAUGCGGAUUAAUUCGAUGCAACGCGAAGAACCUUACCAAGGCUUGACAUAUACCGGAAACUUCCAGAAAUGGUUGCCCCGCAAGGUCGGUAUACAGGUGGUGCAUGGUUGUCGUCAGCUCGUGUCGUGAGAUGUUGGGUUAAGUCCCGCAACGAGCGCAACCCUCGUUCUAUGUUGCCAGCACGUCAUGGUGGGAACUCAUAGGAGACUGCCGGGGUCAACUCGGAGGAAGGUGGGGAUGACGUCAAAUCAUCAUGCCCCUUAUGUCUUGGGCUUCACGCAUGCUACAAUGGCCGGUACAAAGGGCUGCGAUACCGUAAGGUGGAGCGAAUCCCAAAAAGCCGGUCUCAGUUCGGAUUGAGGUCUGCAACUCGACCUCAUGAAGUCGGAGUCGCUAGUAAUCGCAGAUCAGCAACGCUGCGGUGAAUACGUUCCCGGGCCUUGUACACACCGCCCGUCAAGUCAUGAAAGUCGGUAACACCCGAAGCCAGUGGCCUAACCGCAAGGAGGGAGCUGUCGAAGGUGGGAUCGGUGAUUAGGACUAAGUCGUAACAAGGUAGCCGUACCGGAAGGUGCGGCUGGAUCACCUCCUUUCUAAGGA
rnacentral:rRNA from 1 species